GAUCCUGGCUCAGGACGAACGCUGGCGGCAUGCCUAACACAUGCAAGUCGAACGGAGCCAUGGUAUGGAUCUCUUCGGAGUGACGUACCGGAAGCUUAGUGGCAGACGGGUGAGUAACACGUGAGCAACCUGCCCUAUAGAGGGGAAUAACACACCGAAAGGUGUGCUAAUACCGCAUAAGUAUGAUUAUCGCAUGGUAGACAUAUGAAAGAUUUAUCGCUAUAGGAUGGG
rnacentral:rRNA from 1 species